CCUACGGGAGACAGCAGUGGGGAAUAUUGGGCAAUGGGCGCAAGCCUGACCCAGCAACGCCGCGUGAAGGAAGAAGGCUUUCGGGUUGUAAACUUCUUUUGUCAGGGAAGAGUAGAAGACGGUACCUGACGAAUAAGCCACGGCUAACUACGUGCCAGCAGCCGCGGUAAUACGUAGGGGGCAAGCGUUGUCCGGAUUUACUGGGUGUAAAGGGCGUGUAGCCGGGUUGACAAGUCAGAUGUGAAAUCCUGCGGCUUAACCGCAGAACUGCAUUUGAAACUGUUGAUCUUGAGUACUGGAGAGGCAGACGGAAUUCCUAGUGUAGCGGUGAAAUGCGUAGAUAUUAGGAGGAACACCAGUGGCGAAGGCGGUCUGCUGGACAGCAACUGACGGUGAGGCGCGAAAGCGUGGGGAGCAAACAGGAUUAGAUACCCCAGUAGUC
rnacentral:rRNA from 1 species